GCUGGUUUUGUUGCAAGCGCUGGGCUCUUCAGGGCUGUUUGCUCGUUCUGGUUCAAUCCGGUGCCAUCGCCUUUGUUUUGCGACGGAGCCUGACGACGCGAAGCAGAGAAGCAGGCCCCAAACUGAGGGGACUGAGGACGGCGUGCCGAUGGGUCUCAGGGUGCGAUCUUUGGACCUGGGAGAAAGCGGGAGGGACGAGACGCCGUGCGGUGGAAAUCCUGAAGACCAAGUCGAGCUAAGAACAAGGGACUUGAGAGGCCUGCAGCUUUCUGAGGCGAAGACACCGGCGCUGUGGGCUGCAGCUCACCGAAGCGAUUCCAGAUCCAUGGGCCUAGCGAGGUUUCUGCUUCCUGCUGUUCUGUUCACUUUUGCCCAGAUUCUAGCCCAAAAUAGUCAUCUCAAGGAGCUGUUCUCUUGGAGAUGUUGAUCUUGGAAGACAAUUACCAGAAAUAUGUGGGAAAGCUUUGGUCUGAAGAAUUUACUUCUUUGCCAUGUGAACUUCAUAGGCUGUCUUUGAAUUCAGCAGCUGGCCUUCCGCAGAGGGAAAGAUGGAAGAGAAAAAGUCCAAGAUAGAAGCUUACCUUUUAAAACUCUGGAAGGACAUGUCACCUCUGCCUUGCCCUGUUGUUCACAGAGGCCGUCCUAGUACAGAGAGAGCCCUCAUCGAUCUGUUCACUCCUCAAACACUCAGGAUGGCCAGGGCUGGGCCAGGAUGAAGCCAGGAGUCUGGAACUCCAUCCAGAUCUCCCAUGUGGUUGACAGGGACACAGCUACUUGAACCAUCACCUGCUGCCUCCCAGGGCAUGCAUUAGCAGGAAGCUGGAAUCUAUAGCGGACCUUGGACUUGAACCCAGACAUUCUGUUAUGCAAGGAAUUAAAUCGAAGAGUGUUUUCCUAGAGAACAUCAUUUGUCAGAUUUAUUUGAUCAAGAAUUUGAACAUUUAUUUAGUAAAGAAAUUUAAUGCGUUGUGCUGUUGCUGUGGCGCAGCGCAUUAACGCCCUGGCCUGAAGCGCUGGCAUCCCAUAUGGGCGCCAAUUCUAGUCCCUGCUGCUCCUUUUCCGAUCCAGCUCUCUGCUAUGGCCUGGGAAGGCAGUGGAAGAUGGCCCAAAUCCUUGGGCCCCUGCAUCCACGUGGGAGACCCAGAAGAAGCUCCUGGCUCCUGGCUUCGGGUCAGCGCAGCUCUGGCUGUUGCAGCCAUCUGGGGAGUGAACCAGAGCAUGGAAAACCUCUCUCUGUCUCUACCUCUCUCUGUAACUCUUUCAAAUAAAUAAAGUAAAUCGUUUAAAAAAAUUUGUAGAAACCUAAAGUUGAUAUAAAUGUUGUUUAUAGCCUUUAACAAAAAGAUUUAUGAAUAAUGCAUUCAAAAAUCAUAAAACAUGAAUGAAAUAGAUGCUGCUGUUUGGCCGAACUAUAAACAUAGUAUUGAUUACUGUGGAACAAGUCCAUUGUAUAUACCAUACCAUCCUGUACCUUGUUUUUAUUUGUUUUUAAGAUAUAGUUAUUUGAAAGAGAGAGAUGAGCCAACUACUGUUUGACUUCCUGUGAUGUGCAUAUUGGCCAGGCUGGAGCCAGGAGAUUGAUUCUCUAGGUCUCCCACAUGGGUGCAGGGUCCAAAUGCUUGGGCUAUAUUCCGGCUGCUUUUUCCAGGCCAUUAGCAGGGAGCUAGCUGGGAAGUAGAGCAGCUGAGACACGAACCACAGCCAUAAGGGAUGCCAGUGACACAGGUGGAGGCUUUACCCACUACGCCACAAUGCCAGUCCUGUGAUGGUUUUGUUUCUUUUUCUUUUCUGUAGAACUUUACUGCUGGAGACCUCAAGGUUGUUGAAAGGAGGGGAGGAGGCCUAAUUCUCAAAAGAAUGUCUUUAGACCACCUACAAAUCCCAAUCUGAAGAAUUCUACAUUAAAUUAUCUCUAAAUAUUUGUUCUAGCUCCAAUGAGUAGUUCAGAGUCCUAGAACUAGCCUUCUUUCAGAAAAGCUUCGUUUUCAUUUGAUCUAGGACUAAGCUUGGUUAGUAGUUAACUGACUGUUGUGUUAUUGAACUGCUGUCACGUACAGAAGGCCUUGCUUUGCACAGUUUGCACAGUUGCAGUGUGUUAUUAUAUCAGUUCAGUAAAUGAUAUGAAUCCCCCAACAUGGUUAGCGUUUCAGUUUCACAAUAUAGCUUUUUCACAAUAUAGCAAAAUAUAGCAUAAAGUUUGGUAUUAGCCAUUCAUAUCAUUAUGCAAAUAAGAUGUAUGAACUCAGUAACAGAGCAUGUUACUUGGUUCACACAGCACAGCAAAGUGCAUAGUGUGUUGCUUCCUUGUUUUCCAGAGGUUAAAUUUAUGUGACAGUUGCGCAUCAAAAGAGAAUUGGUCAACAAAAAUGGCAGGUUAGCAAAGAAGAAGUGAUAGCUGGAAGUGAACUUGGAUGUGAUUAGAAAGAUGUGAACAUAAUGACAGCAAAACAAAGAUAGGCCAAGGCUUAGGCCUACAUGAAACUACAGUAUGAAUUGCUGAAAAAGUCAGAUGAAUGUAAAAAGAAGAGUUAGGGGCCUGCGCUGUGGCACAGCAGAUUAACACCCUGGCCUGAAGCGCUGGCAUCCCAUAUGGGCGCCAGUUCUAGUCCCGGCUGCUCCUCUUCUGAUCCAGCUCUCUGCUGUGGCCUGGGAAAGCAGUAGAAGAUGGCCCAAGUGCUUGGGUCCCUGCACCCACAUGGGAGACCCGAAAGAAGCUCCUGGUUCCUGGCUUCAGAUCGGCACAGCUCUGGCUGUUGUGGCCGGUUGGGGAGUGACUCUCUUUCUUUGCCUUUCCUCUCUAUAACUCUUUCAAAUAAAAUAAAUAAAUCUUUAAAAAAAAAAAGGGGGGGGGGGUUAAAGCUGCUUCAACAUCUUGUUUAAAUUGCACUAGGAAUAGAAAGUCACUUUUGGUUGAAAUGAAAUGCUUAUUUCUACGUUGGCUUGAACUAAUUAAAGCAAGAUUCAAUCAGUUUAGCUAACAUUCAGACCAAAACUUUCAUGUUAGUUGCUACAUUGAAAGAAAAUGUUGGUAAAUAUAAGACUGAAAAAUAACAUUUUCCUGCCACUAGAAGCUGAUAUCAUCAGAGGUCAGCAUGGACUGAUGACGUUCAGCUUUCUGGUGAAGCUGCAAGCUCAGGUCAAGAUGUUCCCAUGAAAUUUGCACUGUGAUUCCAGAAUCACAGGCUUUCCUUGCUUUGCCAGUAGUCUGAGAUCAUCCUGCAGGUACAGAGGGAAUGUAGUAGAAGAUAGAGCUGUCUGAGAAUGUUAGCAUGCUGCUAUUAAAGAGGCAGCCGUAGUUCUGUAGCCGGGGAAACUUGAUGAAGGUGAACCUAUAGGCAUAAAUGAGGAAAGUGAUUGGGACGCAAAGCAUGAACAUGUCUUGGGAAGUGAUGUCAACCGAAAACUCGGUAUUUAAGAAACUCUCAGAGCUAUUUCUUGACACGGAAAGUACAAAGGGUAAGAUUUUGGAAACUGACCAGACUUGGAAAGGCAUAGAGCUGUUUUGCCAGGACAUAGAAAAGAUGGCAAGUAAUGAGUUUUUAAUCUUUUGACAAAUAUUAAAGUCUGAACAAUCUUAAAUUUUCCCAUUGAGUAAGAAUGCAUUGCAGUUUAUCCUUGCGUGGUCAAAGCCAGGACUGCUAUCAAGUCUACAAACAGCUAUAUUUUAUCCUUGGAAUUAGUUACAAUUUUAUAUUUCCUUUGCAGAUUGUCUUUGUAUGCUGUUAUAUCAAAGCUCUGAAAUAAA